UGGAAAAAUUUUAGACAUUAUUUCUUUAAAAAUCCUGCCCCACUUCUCCUUUGGAGACUUCAACUACAUGUCACACAUCUCAUUGAUGCUCUGAUUGUUGAUUUUUUCUUUCUUUCUCAUUUUGUUUUAAGUCAUUUUUUUCCUCUGUUUUACUUCAGAUAGUGUCUCUUGCUAUGUUUUCAAAUUUGCUGAUCUUUCCUUUUGCAAUGCAUAAUCUUUUGAUCGAUUUUUCUCCUUGUAUGGUUCAUGUUUUCUUGCUUAUUUGCACACCUGGUACUUUUUGGUAGGAUGCCAGACAUGGUGGAUUUUACCUUUCCGGGUGCUGGGUAUUUUUGCAUUCCUGUAAAUAUUCCUGAUCUUUCCUCCGGGAUGCUGUUGAGUUACCUGGAGACAGUUUGAUCCUUUCAGGUCUUGAUUUCAAGAUUGUGAGGGAGGACCAGAGCAGUGUUUAGUCUAGCGCUAAUUAUCCCCACUUCUGAAUGUUUUACCCAGAGCUGGAUAAAUUAUGAUGUUUUCCUGUCUGGAGGUGAGAACAGGCACUACUGCCAGCCUUGUGUGAGAGGUGGCCACUGCUCCCCCUGAGUCUUUUGGGGAGGUCUUUCCUGGGCUUGAGUAAUCUCCUCACACACAUGCAUGCUCACUGCUCUGUUGAAUAUAUGAAAGGAAACCUCUACAGAUCUCUGGAGUUCUCUCUCUGGGCAGCUGCCUUCUCUACUGUGCUGCCCAAUAAACUCCAGGCACCUUGAUGUCUCUAGAUUUUUACCUUUGGCUCCUUAACUUGGGGAUCUCCUAUGCUCUCCAUCCCCGUGCUGUGGCCUGGAAUCUCUUGCAAGGCAGGAAUCUGGAAUAAUCCUAGGCCUUAUCUGAUUUUGUUUCCCUGUCUCUCAGGGCUCACUGUCUUUUGUUGCUGAUGUCCAAUGUGUUGAAAACCAUUGUUUUGUAUAUUUUUUCUAUUGUGUUUUUUGUGGUUUCAAGCGGUUGUGUACCUCCUAUUCCUGAUACUUCAUCUUGGCUGAGAGUGGAUGUUGACGCUCCUAUUAUUUUUUUAGAAAAAGUUUUUCGUUCUGUCUUCCCAGAGGUUUAUCAAUUUUAUAAGUCCUUUCCAAUGACACACAUUUGUCUUUCUCAAGUCUCUUUAUGGUAUAGUUUUUUAUCCAUAAAUGUGUCAUUUGUCCACAGAUCUUCCUCUGUUUAUGAUGGGAUUACAUCCUGAUAAACCCACCAUGAAUUGAAAAUGCAUUUAAUACACCUAACCUACCAAACAUCAUAGGUUAGCCCAGCCUAUCUUAAACGCGCCCAGAACACUUAGAUUAUCCUCCAGUUGGGUAAGAUCUUCUCACACAAAGCCUAUUUUAUAAUGAAGUGUUGACUAUCUCAUGUCAUUUAUUGAGUCUGGUACUGAAGGGAACAACAGUGGCUGUGAGUGUACCGGUUGUUCACCCUCCUGAUCACGUGGCUGACUGGGAGCUGCGGCUCACUCCACUGCCCAGCAUCACGAGCGAGUGUGGGACAGCAUAUUGCGAGCCUGGGAAAUUAGCAAAAUUCAAGAAAGCAUCAACUGGAGAGACUUCCACCCAUGUUGACUCCUGGGCAGAACGUUCACUCAGCAGACGGUAUAGUCCAGCUCAAGACACCCUGGUGGCUCUUGUCUGGUACGCAGCAUACAGAGGCUCUUCUGCAGGCCGCAGGGAAGUUCCUCUAGAACAAUAAAGCACAGUACGAUACUGCUGAACAAGCGUUAUCACCCCUGGAGAAGUCAAGAAACAUGAGAGCUCCACAUAUCAAUUGCUCUAAGCUGCAAAGGUCCUACCAUGGGCCCUGUACUCAUUGGGAAGGAACAGUGGGGUGGCAAGGUAUUUAUGUCAACUGGGUCACGGUCAGUCACAGGAAAACAGAAUCCAGGGCUGGACCCAGCUUUGACUCGAGAUUGGGAGCUGGUACAUUUACACCAAAAACACAGUGAACUCUACAAUCUACCGUGUCCUGUGCCAGAGGAAGAACACAGCCAACCAUUGCUCCAGGAAUCUGGAAGAUGGAGAAUUGGACCAUCAGAGGCCAGGGUGAUCAAGAAAGUCUUUGUGAUGUGGGUGAGAGUAUCUUGAAACUGUAGAACUGAAUGGAAAUUUGUUAACUGAAUAUUUGAUUUUCUUUAGGAACAUGUCUUAAGAAAAUAGUCCCUAUUUUCACUGGAAUGAGCAUCUAUGCUUUUUUUCUCAGAUCGUCUGAAUUCUUUCUCAAAGAUCUCUAUAGGACAAUGUUCUGAUGCCCUCUGGCGCUAACAGUUUCCUAACACAAAUACUGAGUCACUACUAUUUGUAUUCUCAGAGCCUAACCUACUGCCUUACAGAAAGGCUGCAAUUAUCAUUGCCUUCCCAUACAGAUUAAAAACUUUGGGCUUGAUACUUUGCUCCAAGGGAAGCAUUGAAGGUUUGUAAACAGCAAAGGCCACGUAAUUCUGUGCCAUUAAAUCAAGUUGACCAAGUCACAUGUCAUGUGACCUGCACUCAACAAUAGGGAGCUGUGUUUGUUUCAUCCCUGUUCAUGGCAAAAGUCCCAGAUAAUCCAAAUGUGUCACUGUGUGCUGUGGAAGGCGCUGUGAUGAAUAUGGCCACCUUCAGGGAGGUCAUGGUCUUGUGGAGAAGCCCUACAAACCAAAACAUCCCCGAAUGACCUGCUUUCAUUGAAUUUACACCAAUGCCCUGUAAAUGUGUAAGUCAUAGGGACCUGUCUGCGGUGAUUCGUGGGGCAGAAGCACUGUGGAUAAUGGGAUCCUCAAAACACCAUUCCCAUUGAUGCUAAAUCUGCCUUCACGGGCUGCAGCAACUGGGGCUGGCCACCCCGGUGGGCCUUUACAAGUCCUCCUGCCCUUAAAGGAACAGGACUCAAAUCACGGCAGGCCAGAGAUAAAAUCAAUACUGUAAGUAGAAGGAAAGUGUUUUGGUCUAUUGCUUUCUCUACGAUAUUCUAAUAAUCUAAUUGUACUUUCAGAUUAGUGAAGUACAGUGAAACAGUUCUAAGGAAAACACUUCUAGUGUCUAAGGGGUAUGUUGCAUGUAUUUAUUAUACUGUGCAUAUGAUAAUGGAGGACACUUACUGAACGCUCACUUUGUACCAAGGAAGAUGCUAAGUGUUUUGCACAUAUCAUCUCACUGAAGACAUGUACCAACCCCAUGACACAGGCAUGGUCAUCAUGCUUAUUUUAUAGAAGAGAAAGUUAACACUUACAGUAACUUCAGGAUCAGGCACAGUUGAGACAUGUGGAACCGGGAUUGGAACCCGGGACCUUACGCUCCACCAUGGCGGGCUGCACUGCACUCGUUGUGCGGCUGCCAUGUAUGAAUCACAGAUGUAGACGUCGUCAGCCAGGAAGAAAGCCUGUGUUUCUGGCCGUAUUAUUUGACGGUAAAGCAGAUCACCUUUGUGGUAGUGUUGCUGACAGAAAAAAAUAUAUAAAUUAACAGAAAGCUCAUAGUUUCCCCAUCACGUAUAGCCAAAGACACUAAAAAAUUGUGCCUAUUCCCUCAAUAAAAAUAUAUAAACCUGACCAAUAAUGGCAUAUGACCAAUAAUGGCAUAUAUAUAUUUAAAUAUAGUUAGGGGCUGGGUGGUGGCAUAGUGGUUGGGUUCACAUACUCCGCUUCAGUGGCCUGGAGUUUGCAGGUUCGGAUUCCGGGAGCAGACAUAGUACCGCUCAUCACGCCACGCUGUGGCAGUGUCUCACGUGAAAUAGAGGAAGACUGGCACAGAUGUUAGCUCAGGG
rnacentral:lncRNA from 1 species